AACGAACGCUGGCGGCAUGCCUAACACAUGCAAGUCGAACGAGACCUUCGGGUCUAGUGGCGCACGGGUGCGUAACGCGUGGGAACCUGCCCUUAGGUUCGGAAUAACUCCCCGAAAGGGGUGCUAAUACCGGAUAAUGUCUUCGGACCAAAGAUUUAUCGCCUUUGGAUGGGCCCGCGUUGGAUUAGCUAGUUGGUAGGGUAAAAGCCUACCAAGGCGACGAUCCAUAGCUGGUCUGAGAGGAUGAUCAGCCACACUGGGACUGAGACACGGCCCAGACCCCUGGGGGAGGGAGGAGGGGGGAAAUUGGGACAAGGGGGGAAAGCCGAACCCAGCAAGGCCGGGUGAGUGAUGAAGGCUUUGGGGUUGUAAAGCUCUUUUACCCGGGAUGAAAAUAACGGUCCCGGGAAAAAAAGCCCCGGCUAACUCCGU
rnacentral:rRNA from 1 species